GUGAGGAAUAUUGGUCAAUGGGCGAGAGCCUGAACCAGCCAAGUCGCGUGAAGGAUGAAGGUUUUAUGAAUUGUAAACUUCUUUUGCAGGGGAAUAAAGUACGGUACGUGUACCGUUUUGUAUGUACUCUGCGAAUAAGGAUCGGCUAACUCCGUGCCAGCAGCCGCGGUAAUACGGAGGAUCCAAGCGUUAUCCGGAUUUAUUUGGUUUAAAGGGUGCGUAGGUGGUUUGAUAAGUCAGCGGUGAAAGUUUGCAGCUUAACUGUAAAAAUGCCGUUGAAACUGUCGGACUUGAGUGUAAAUGAGGUAGGCGGAAUGCGGGGUGUAGCGGUGAAAUGCAUAGAUAUCACGCAGAACUCCGAUUGCGAAGGCAGCUUACUAAGCUACAACUGACACUGAAGCACGAAAGCGUGGGGAUCAAACAGGAUUAGAAACCCUAGUAGUCC
rnacentral:rRNA from 1 species